rnacentral:ribozyme from 1 species
UUAUCGUCGAUACAGGAAGCGGUAUUACUGCCUUUCCUUGUAGCGGUUGCAAUGAUUGUGGUGUCCCAAAAUAUCACAUCGAUAGAUUAUUUAAUG